AUUGAACGCUGGCGGCAUGCUUUACACAUGCAAGUCGAACGGUAACAGGCCUUCGUGUGCUGACGAAUGUCUAACGGGUGAGUAAUUCAUCGGAACGUACCCAGAGUGGGGGGAUAACGCAGCUAAAGCUGUGCUAAUACCGCAUGUGAUCUGAGUAUGAAAUCGGGGGACCGAGCAGCAAUGUUUGACCUCUCUCCUUUUGAGCGGCCGAUGUCGGAUUAGCGAUUUGGUGGGGUAAAGGCCUACCAAGGCGACGAUCCGUAGCUGGCCUGAGAGGAGGACCAGCCACACUGGGACUGAGACACGGCCCAGACUCCUACGGGAGGCAGAAGUGGGGAAUUUUGGACAAUGGGCGAAAGCCUGAUGCAGCAAUGCCGCGUGAGGGAAGAAGGCCUUCGGGUUGUAAACCGCUUUUGGAAGGAACGAAAAGGUGUACGCUAAUACCGGGAGACAAUGACGGUACCUGAAGAAUAAGCACCGGCUAACUACGUG
rnacentral:rRNA from 1 species